UGAGGAAUAUUGGUCAAUGGACGAGAGUCUGAACCAGCCAAGUAGCGUGCAGGAUGACGGCCCUAUGGGUUGUAAACUGCUUUUGUUUGGGAAUAAUCGACAUUACGUGUAAUGUUUUGCAUGUACCAUUCGAAUAAGGACCGGCUAAUUCCGUGCCAGCAGCCGCGGUAAUACGGAAGGUCCAGGCGUUAUCCGGAUUUAUUGGGUUUAAAGGGAGUGUAGGCGGUUGGUUAAGCGUGUUGUGAAAUGUAGAUGCUCAACAUCUGACUUGCAGCGCGAACUGGCUGACUUGAGUACACACAACGUAGGCGGAAUUCAUGGUGUAGCGAUGAAAUGCUUAGAUAUCAUGAAGAACUCCGAUAGCGAAGGCAGCUUACGGGAGUGUUACUGACGCUUAAGCUCGAAGGUGCGGGUAUCGAACAGG
rnacentral:rRNA from 1 species